CUUCGGAAGCGCAUGACUCGAACCCGGGACCGACUUGAUGGGAACGCGCAACUCGAACCCGUCACCCCAGAGGACUUCAUGGGCCUGUUGCCAGUGCAUGAUUCGAACCCAGCACUGCCGAGGACUUAAUGCGCCAGUUGGAAGCGCAUCACUCGAACCCGCAACCCACCACUGCCAAGGACUUCAUGCGCCAGUUGGAAGCGCGUCACUCGAACCCUCAACCCACCGCUGCCAAGGACUUCAUGCGCCAGUUGGAAGCGCAUGACUCGAACCCAGGACCGGCUUGAUGGGAGCGCGCAACUCGAACCCGUCACCCCAGAGGACUUCAUGUGCCUGUUGCCAGUGCGUGAUUCGAACCCAGCACUGCCGAGGACUUCAUGCGCCUGUUGGAAGCGCAUGACUCGAACCCGGGACCGAGGGCUUCUUGCGCCCGUUGGAAGCCUGCGACUUGAACCCGCCGCCGCCGAGGACUUCGUGCGCCUGUUGUGAGUGCGCAAGACUCGAACCCGCCGCUGCCGAGGACUUCAUGCGCCUGUUGUGAGUGCGCAAGACUCGAACCCGCCGCCGCCGAGGACUUCGUGCGCCUGUUGUCAGUGCGCAAGACUCGAACCCGCCGCCGCCGAGGACUUCAGGCAUCCAUGGACUUGAACCCGCGACUGCUGAGGACUUCGGCACCCUUUGGAAGAGCGUGACUCGAACCCGGGACCGAGGACUUCUGCGCACGUCGGAAGCACGACUCGAACCCGCCGCCAUCUACCCUCGCCAUCUACCUCUCUUGCUGCGCAGUGUUGCCUCUUUUGGGGGGCGGACCCCCCAUUGACUCCCCCAAAACAGCCCAUAUUCUGAGAUUUCCCACCCAGAUUCUGAGGUUUUGCCCCGUUUCGCCUCCCAGAUUCUGAGAUUUCCCAGCAAAUUCUGAGAUUUGCCCCCCAAAUUCUGAGAUUUCCCAGCAAAUUCUGAGAUUUGCCACCCAGAUUCUGAGAUUUCCCCCCGUUUCGCCCCCCAAAUUCUGAGAUUUGCCGCCCAAAUUCUGAGAUUUCCCCCCAAAUUCUGCCGUUUGCCCCCUGAAUUCUGACAUUUGCCGCCCAAAUUCUGAGUAUUCCCAGCAAAUUCUGAGAUUUGCCCCCAAAUUCUGAGAUUUCCCCCCAAAUUCUGAGAUUUGCCACCCAGAUUCUGAGAUUUCCCCCCGUCCCCCCCCAAAUUCUGAGAUUUGCCGCCCAAAUUCUGAGAUUUCCCCCCAAAUUCUGCCGUUUGCCCCCUGAAUUCUGACAUUUGCUGCCCAAAUUCUGAGUAUUCCCAGCAAAUUCUGAGAUUUGCCCCCCAAAUCCUGAGAUUUCCCCCCAAAUUCUGACAUUUGCCGCCCAAAUUCUGAGAUUUCCCCCCGUUUCCCCCCCAAAUUCUGAGAUUUGCCCCCAAAUUUUGAGAUUUGCCGCCCAAAUUCUGAGAUUUCCCCCCGUUUCCCCCCCCCAAAUUCUGAGAUUUCCCAGCAAAUUCUGACAUUUGCCGCCCAAAUUCUGAGAUUUCCCCCCGUUUCCCCCCCCAAAUUCUGAGAUUUCCCAGCAAAUUCUGAGGUUUGCCACCCAGAUUCUGAGAUUUCCCCCCGUUUUGCCCCCCAAAUCCUGAGAUUUCCCCCCAAAUUCUGAGAUUUGCCACCCAGAUUCUGAGAUUUCCCCCCGUUUUGCCCCCCAAAUCCUGAGAUUUCCCCCCAAAUUCUGACAUUUACCCCCCCAAUUCUAAGAUUUGCCCCCAAAUUCUGAGAUUUCCCCACAAAUUCUUACAUUUGCCACCCAGAUUCUGAGAUUUCCCCCCGUUUUGCCCCCCAAACUCUGAGAUUUCCCAGCAAAUUCUGACAUUUGCCCCCCCAAUUCUAAGAUUUGCCCCCGUUUUGCCCCCCAAUUUCUGACAUUUGCUGCCCAAAUUCCGACAUUUACCCACCAAUUCUAAGAUUUCCCCCCAAAUUCUGACAUUUGCCCCCCAAAUUCUGCAUUUCCCCCAUUUUGCCCCCUGAAUUCUGACAUUUGCUGCCCAAAUUCCGACAUUUACCCCCCAAUUCUAAGAUUUGCCCCCCAAUUCUGACAUUUGCCGCCAUUUUAUGGGGCAGAAACUCUUUAUGGGGUGGAAAAUACCAUUUAAUGUCUUCAAAUGGGGGAGAAAAAUAUUUGGGUUUCUGUGGAAAAUUCCAUUUAAUGUCUUCAAAUGGGGGAGAAAAAUAUUUGGGUUUCUGUGGAAAAUACCAUUUAAUGUCUUCAAAGGGGGGAGUUUGUGUGUUUAUAUAUAUAUAUAUUAAUAUAUAUAUAUUAAUAGUAUAUAUAUUAAUAAUAUAUAUAUAUUAAUAAUAAUACCAUUUAAUGUCUUCAAAUGGGGGAGAAAAAUAUUUGGGUUUCUGUGGAAAAUUCCAUUUAAUGUCUUCAAAGAGGGGAG
rnacentral:lncRNA from 1 species